rnacentral:rRNA from 2 species
UGGUUGUUGUGUCAGGGGUACACCCGGUCCCAUUUCGAACCCGGUCGUUAAGUCUGAUUGCGCUGAUGGUACUGCAUCUGGGAGGGUGUGGGAGAGUAGGUCGCUGCCAACA